rnacentral:rRNA from 1 species
CUAGCACGCAAGUGUGAGGGAGCGACGCCGCGUGGAGGACGAAGUUCUUCGGAAUGUAAACUCCUGGUCAGGGGUUAGAAAGUUCUGAUCAACCCCAGAGGAAGAGGCGGCUAACUCUGUGCCAGCAGCCGCGGUAAUACAGAGGCCUCAAGCGUUAGGCGGAAUCACUGGGCUUAAAGCGUGUGUAGGCGGAUGCCUAAGUGCCUUGUGAAAUCCCACGGCUCAACCGUGGAACUGCUGGGCAUACUGGGUGUCUUGAGCCAUCCAGGGGUCGCUGGAACAAACGGUGGAGCGGUGAAAUGCGUAGAUAUCGUUUGGAACGCCAAAGGUGAAGACAGGCGACUGGGGAUGUGCUGACGCUGAGACACGAAAGCCAGGGGAGCAAACGGGAUUAGAUACCCCGGUAGUCCUGCCCCUAAACGAUGUCCACUAGAUUAUGGCGGGUUUGACCCCGUCAUGGUCGAAGCAAAAGUGUUAAGUGGACCGCCUGGGAAGUACGGUCGCAAGGCUA